rnacentral:rRNA from 1 species
UACGUAGGUGGCAAGCGUUAUUCGGAUUCACUGGGCGUAAAGGGUGCGCAGGCGGCCGUGUGUGUGAGGCGUGAAAGCCCGGAGCUCAACUCCGGAAUUGCACCUCAAACUACACGGCUAGAGCAUUGGAGAGGGAAGCGGAAUUCACGGUGUAGCAGUGAAAUGCGUAGAUAUCGUGAGGAACACCAGAGGCGAAGGCGGCUUCCUGGACAAUUGCUGACGCUCAGGCACGAAAGCGUGGGGAGCAAAAGGG